ensembl:lncRNA
GCAUUCUCUGACAGCUGUGUUCCUCAUGGGCAGACCCAACAGGAUUAAGGGACAGAGAAGGCUCUAGAGAAGGGGAGGGAAUGUCAUAUAGGGACGAGAGGGCUGCCAAGGCCCCACGACUACAGACCGGGAGGUUUCCCUCCGAGGAUGCUCCUCCAGCGUGUUUGCGCAGCAGCUGCAGUAAAAGCAACGGUAACCAUUGUUGAUGGAGCAGUUCUAAGCGCCUCCUAUGGAUGAACUCGUGCAUCUGCACAAAGGCCCUUGAGGUAGAAGCCAUGGUUAUUGCAGACCAGGAAACCGAGGCCGAGCUGUUACUCAGGGUCACAUGGCUAGCUCGAGGAAGCAGGCUUCUGAUCCCCCCACAGUGUGCCCCAGAGUCCACGCUCUUAGCUCUGGAGGUGCGGCGGCGGGUGUGAACCUGCUGCCUGGCAGCGCACCGUGCAGGCACUGCACAUGCUCGCCUCCAUAUCGGAACCCUCUACCCUGCUGACGAGUCUUCUCUAUUCAAGUGCCCAGUCUCCUCCUUGCCUGUGAUUGCAGACCCUCCAGCAGAGGGUCUAACAGCUGAAUCAACGGCAAUGGGAGGCUUUAGUGGCUCCUCCACUGCCAGCAUGUGUGUCUUGGAAGCCAAGACUGUUUUCUGCACCUCCAAGCACUGCCUAGGGUUCUGCUUAAAUCCAGA